UGUCUCCACACCUACACUUCUCUACCUGUUGUCCAUCUGCAGCACUCAGCAGGACAGUGCUUAAGAUCAGCAUUGCCAUCUGUUUUUCGCUAGUCGUCAGCUACCUCAGGAUGCAAUCUCAUCAAGUCACCACAUUACUCAUCUGCAGCACCUUCCUCUGGACGGUGUCUCCACGGUCAAAUCACCGGCUUUAUUCUGCAACUCGUUCCCCUGGACUCUAAUAACUAACCGCUCUCACCUGCCUGUCCUCCUGCCCACUGACUCAUCUGGAUUACUGGAAUACAAGUCUCCUCAUCAGAGAUUUCCCCGCCUGGUGCUCGCAUCUUGCCAUAGUUUAUUCCUUGUUUUCAAUAAAACAAGGAAUAAAUCUUAUUGCCACUCUGUGUUUGUCUUUACCUGGGUCUACUUCCACCUACCGACUUUACGGCCUUGACAGCCAGUGAUCCACAUUUGCCCGGCAGCUAGUGGCUGACUUUGCAAAUAAAAAAUUCUUACGUGUUUCUUUUUCUCUAGAUAAUAAUUCUUAGAAGCAUAUUCUAAUGGAAAAAUUGACUGGUUACCAUGAGUGGAAAUGUGGAAAUUGGUUAAACAAAAGAACUACAUCUACAUAAGCUUUGUACUUUA